CAGCCCGCCAGAUUGUUGGGCUGCUGUGAGCCUCCAGCCCUGGAGGUCUUUCACUAACGGGAUAGGGUUUCAUCUCUCUGGAAUGUGUUAGGACAGCAAGGCCUAACCCAUCCUCUCUGUCCAGAUGAAAUUUGUCUUCCAUGAAGGACUGGGCCCCACUUCUGAGCUCCAUAGAACUACAUGGAACUCCUAGAAUAUAUAUAACACAGAGCUCCACUCAUGCCUCAACAGUCCUGAAUGAUUCUCUUUCUCCAGCAUCUUGGAACCUGUUUCUACUCAUCUGUUAAGCGGAGAUAAUACUACCUUCCUUGGUUAUGAGAAGUAGCCACUAGCAUGGACGAGGACAGUCUCACAAAGAGGCAGAAAGGGAGGUAAUGUUCCCAUCUGAUGGAUGAGAAAAUCGAGGCUCAAAGAGGCCAAGAAGCUUGAAAGGGGCCACGUUCACACAGCUGGAAUGUAAAGCCAGGUCUUCUGGAGCCAAGGUACCCGCCACUGACAGAUGAGCUCGAGUUCUACAAGCAACUGGUGGUUUGGCCACCCCAAUAAUUGAGAACUUUCUUCAUUAAAAAUUGUUUAAAAUGAAAGUACUAUCUGGCCUUUAUUCCUUUUCAGAUUCAUUGGCUUUUUUUCUGAGUUGGGAACUGAGUCCACAGGAGGAGCAAUUCUCCAAGGAACA